rnacentral:rRNA from 1 species
CACGUAGGGUGCGAGCGUUGUCCGGAAUUAUUGGGCGUAAAGAGCUCGUAGGCGGUGUGUCGCGUCGGCCGUGAAAACCUGCAGCUUAACUGUGGGCUUGCGGUCGAUACGGGCAUCACUGGAGUUCGGCAGGGGAGACUGGAAUUCCUGGUGUAGCGGUGAAAUGCGCAGAUAUCGGGAGGAACACCAGUGGCGAAGGCGGCGAUCUGGGAAGAUACUGACGCUGAGGUGCGAAAGCGUGGGGAGCAAACAGG